rnacentral:lncRNA from 1 species
ACCAAGGAGGAAUUUCAGGGUGAAUGGACUGCUCCCGCUCCUGAGUUCACUGCUACUCAGCCUGAGGUUGCAGACUGGUCUGAAGGUGUACAGGUGCCCUCUGUGCCUAUUCAGCAAUUCCCUACUGGUAUGUAUCAGGUCGGGAGGCCAAAGCAGGAGAAUCUCCUGAGCCCAGGAGUUCCAGAUCAGCCUUGGCAAUGUAGCAAGACCCUGUCUCUAAUUCCCACCUACCCCAGCAACUGACAGUCCAGCUUUUUGCAUUUCACAUGCUGCAGUUAAUUGUCACUGUGUAUCUUGUUGGUACUCACGUUGCUAGCAGGAGCAGCAGCUGGGAUUGCUUUUAUCAGCAUCCGAGACAAGUAGGAACUGACUGUCUCUGGGCCUCGUGUCCCAGCACAUUCUAUAAUUUUAGCAAGUGCCCUGAAUGCUGUUGAGGAGGGAGGAUCACUUGAGGUCAAGAGUUCG